UUAACGCGUUAAGUCGACCGCCUGGGGAGUACGGCCGCAAGGUUAAAACUCAAAUGAAUUGACGGGGGCCCGCACAAGCGGUGGAGCAUGUGGUUUAAUUCGAUGCAACGCGAAGACCCUUACCUACUCUUGACAUCCAGAGAACUUUCCAGAGAUGGAUUGGUGCCUUCGGGAACUCUGAGACAGGUGCUGCAUGGCUGUCGUCAGCUCGUGUUGUGAAAUGUUGGGUUAAGUCCCGCAACGAGCGCAACCCUUAUCCUUUGUUGCCAGCGGUUAGGCCGGGAACUCAAAGGAGACUGCCAGUGAUAAACUGGAGGAAGGUGGGGAUGACGUCAAGUCAUCAUGGCCCUUACGAGUAGGGCUACACACGUGCUACAAUGGCGCAUACAAAGAGAAGCGACCUCGCGAGAGCAAGCGGACCUCAUAAAGUGCGUCGUAGUCCGGAUUGGAGUCUGCAACUCGACUCCAUGAAGUCGGAAUCGCUAGUAAUCGUAGAUCAGAAUGCUACGGUGAAUACGUUCCCGGGCCUUGUACACACCGCCCGUCACACCAUGGGAGUGGGUCGCAAAAGAAGUAGGUAGCUUAACCUUCGGGAGGGCGCUUACCACUUUGUGAUUCAUGACUGGGGUGAAGUCGUAACAAGGUAACCAAGGGCGAAUUCCAG
rnacentral:rRNA from 1 species